rnacentral:lncRNA from 10 species
UACUGCCUCACCUGAAAAAUAAGAGUGGUCAGAGUGCCCACUACCCAGGGUUCCUGGAGGACCAAGUGAGAUAAUUGGUGUAAAUCCUUGGCACAGAUCUGGGACACAGCAGGUGUUGGCAAUAUCCUUGAAGAGACUAAAAGAACUCAGAACAACACUGAACAAGCCAGCAGAGCCAUCAACUCACCCCUACAGUCUCCAUACACAGACUCCAUGAAAGCAUUGGCCAUCAGCUCUCACUGGUGUGGAUAUGUCACCAGUGGGGUAGAGUUGUUCCUCUCUCUGACACUGUAUUAGUCCAUUCUCACACUGCUAUUAAAAAACAAACAAACAAACUUGAGAUUGGGGUAAUUUAUGAAGAAGAGAGGUUUAUUUAUUUAUUUAUUUAUUUUGAGACAGAGUCUCACUUUGUCGCCAGGCUAGAGUGCUGUGGCGCGAUCUCAGCUCACUGCAACCUCCAACUCCCUGGUUCAAGGGAUUCUCCUGCCUCCGCCUCCCAGGUAGCUGGGAUUACAGGCGCGUGCCACCACGCCCA